rnacentral:tRNA from 1 species
AAUAAAGUGCCUGAUUAAAGGAUUAUUCUGAUAGAAUAAAUUAAAUAGUAUUUCUAUCUUUAUUA